CACGUAGGGCGCAAGCGUUGUUCGGAAUUACUGGGCGUAAAGGGCGCGUAGGCGGCCUACUAAGUCAGACGUGAAAUCCCCAGGCUUAACUUGGGAACUGCGUCUGAUACUGGAAGGCUUGAGUGCGGGAGAGGGAUGUGGAAUUCCAGGUGUAGCGGUGAAAUGCGUAGAUAUCUGGAGGAACACCGGUGGCGAAGGCGGCAUCCUGGACCGACACUGACGCUGAGGCGCGAAAGCCAGGGGAGCAAACGGG
rnacentral:rRNA from 1 species